ensembl:snRNA U6 U6 spliceosomal RNA
GUUCGCUCGUCCAGGACAGAUCCUAAAAGUGGAAGGAUGCAGGGAAGAUGAACGUGGCCCCUGUGCGAGGGUGAUGUGCAAAUUAGCAAAACGUUCCACAUUUUG